GCCACACCUUCAACAGUCGUAACGCUCUUAGCAGCGGCAUCAUCCGGCGCUUCACCCCCGGCUGCCCCAGUCUGGGCACUAACUUCUCCAACUACUUCACCAAUGGAAGCCUUAAAAAUAAAAGCAAGCAAGUCUUCUGGAGAAAUAGAGAAGCUCAUCCACUCCUUUCUUAGCAUAAGCAGCAAAACAAAGCUCAGAAAUUGCAAGCUUAAGAUCUUGAAUCUGAGGCAAAUCAAUCUCAGCAGCAAAGGGAGCAGGCUUUGGUGCCACUUUAGCAGCAGAGUCCACCUUACCACUCUUUAUAAUAGCAAGUCUCUACAAAGGUGAACCAGACUUGGCUCCCAAAGAACGUCCUGGUACAGACUUCGGCACUAAGGGCACGAUAAAACCUUUACGCUGAGCAAUCUUAUCCACAAUUGUACUAGCCAUUCUCAACAUGGAAGACG
rnacentral:lncRNA from 1 species